AUUGAACGCUGGCGGCAGGCCUAACACAUGCAAGUCGAGCGAGAAAGGUCUUCGGACUGAGUACAGCGGCGGACGGGUGAGUAAUGCGCAGGAAUCUACCUGGUAGUGGGGGAUAACUCGGGGAAACUCGAACUAAUACCGCAUACGCCUACGGGGAAAGCGGGGGACCUUCGGGCCUCGCGCUAUCAGAUGAGCCUGCGUAGGAUUAGCUUGUUGGUGAGGUAAAGGCUCACCAAGGCGACGAUCCUUAGCUGGUCUGAGAGGAUGAUCAGCCACACUGGAACUGAGACACGGUCCAGACUCCUACGGGAGGCAGCAGUGGGGAAUAUUGCGCAAUGGGCGAAAGCCUGACGCAGCCAUGCCGCGUGUGUGAAGAAGGCCCUUGGGUUGUAAAGCACUUUCAAUUGGGAAGAAAGGUUGCGUGUUAAUAGCACGUAGCUGUGACGUUACCUUUAGAAGAAGCACCGGCUAACUCCGUGCCAGCAGCCG
rnacentral:rRNA from 1 species